CACUCAUUGAUAAGUGCAUAUUAGCCC
rnacentral:misc_RNA from 1 species